UUAAACUCUAGCAUUCAGAAGAGGUAAUAAGACUACGAUAAUUUUUUGUGAAGUGCGCCCUCAAGAGGCCAAUAGUGUUAAGCAAGAUGGCGGCGUGCAUGCAAGGCAUUUGUCAAGUUUUUCCGCGAAUAUUUCUUAGCAGGAGGUCACUGCAUGGGUAUUACUUGGCACAAACCUACGCAUGGAGAGUUACUGGGAAUCGCCAGAAACGUGUCGAGCAUAUCAAAACGAUAAAUUUUCUUCCAAGAGACGGCAUUUUAAGAAAAACUUUAUGCACCGAUAAAAUUGCAGAGACUCAAAUCACACAACGUGACAAGAAGUAUGAUAAGAGUCACGACAGACUGAUAGAACGUCCGACUGUAUCAGGUGAAAGUGAUAUCACAGAGACUUUGCAUAGCAAUGAACAUGACGAGAGAAAAGGAGACAUAGCUGCCAGAAAGAAAGAAAUUCCUGAUUUAAAAGGAAAUAUUGAAGUCUCUCACAAAUCUCUGUACAGUUUGGCAGCAGAUCUGAAGUCGACAGUUGAGUCUCAAGAACAGCAAGCACAGAGCCCAGCUUUUUACCGCCGCCGUGUUGAAAGCGAGUUUGGUGGUGAUGGCAAGAGGCAAACAUUCAAAGGCAUUGUGUGUUGCUGUAUUGUUUUUUCACUGGCAUUCUUCAGAAAAGAACAGGAGGAUACCAUUGAAUUACUCAUUGCAAAAUCUUGGGUUGCAGAAAAAGAAGGCAAUUUGGCAGAAGCAGAAGCUCUGUUACACAAAGCUCUUAAGAUGGCCCAAGAUGAUAAGAAUACAAGUGCAGUCACCUACAUCUUUGAUCAGUUGGCGAAUUUAUCCAUGAGGCAUGGCAACCUGACAAAGGCAGAAAAUCUCUUCAAGGAGACUCUGAAACUGAUGAUCUCGUCAGGAACGGCACAAGAUGACAGUGCUGUGGUUGAGAUUUCCCUCAAAUUGGCCAGAAUGUUUGAUAGGAUGAGAAGGUAUGAUGAUGCAGAGCAAGGUUUCAAAUGGUGCAUCUCUACCACAGAGAAGAAGUUAGCAGAGGCAAAUGAUAAGGAGACAACUCGCAACCUGCAGUCGCUACUAGGAAUGUGUUUAGAUUGCUACGCCAGGCACCUGGCUGCUCAUGGCAGAUUGCAAGAAGCCAAGGAUACCUAUAAACGUGCAUUGCUCAUCUGUGAAGAGAAAUUGAAAGUUGAUGGAGUGCCACAUCCUCAGACAGUAAUCCUGUUGAACGAUUUGGGCACGGUCAAUGACCUUGGAGGCAACUACACUGAAGCUAUUGAACUCAUUCAAAGGGCUGCUGACCUUGCUGAGAAGAGGUCACCUCGUGACCUACCCACAAUUCUUUGCAACUUAGCAUCUGUCAAUAUGCAUGCAGAGAAAUUUGAGGAAGCAAGGAGUUACUACAAGAAAGCUUUAUCUCUUGCUGAGAAGCAAGGGGAUGCAGCGGCUAUAUUGGAGAUCAAGAACAGCCUGGCUCAGCUAGAUACGAACAUCUUCCUGAAGCAGCAGAAGGAGGGAAGAAAGAAACAAGAGGCAAAAGUUCUGAAUUAAUUGUAACCCGGAAGUUAGCUCAGGCACAAAUGAGUUUCUUCAAAAGAGAAAUGUGCUCGGUCUAGAAAAAUUAUUUCUGUGCUUCUAGAAAUGUCUUUACUGGCCAAAAUGAAAUUAUAUCUUUGUAUUUGAGUUCCUUUGAAAAGGGUACCUUCCAGGCGGACAUGGGUUCUUAUAUGGAGAUGUUAAUGAAACAACCUAAUAGUUCCGCAAAAGCUAGAAGUUUUCUGGCUCAGCAGUCAGAAAAUUUGUCUGCAUGGUUAGCAUUCUUGUAAUUUUUUGGAAGAACAUGACAAUACUAGACCAUGCACAAAAUAUCUGGGAAUAGAAUUUUAGAAAUAUUUAAAAUGGCCUAAGCUUUCCCACCUCUUGAUUCUGUUUCAAGUUGUUAGCUUCAGAAAAAUUGAUUAUUUAUGGAACUAAACGAAAAAUGUCUAGCAAAACAGUGAUUCUGUUUGGCUGUACGAAUUUUAAUUGCGUUUAAUAGAAUUUUAGGGUAUGACCAUUUUUUUUCAAAGACGUGUUGUUUAUAUCAAGGGAUUGGGAGUAAUUUCUCAGCCUUACGUCAUUCAUGAAAAAGGCUAUGGGUUAUUCCAAAAAUAAAUACUCCCAUUUGAAAAAAAAAAUUCCGUGUUAAUUUCGAUGUGUUGCGUCAUUCUAAAAUGUUGUAAACCAGACCCUAUAAAUUGGAUCAAAGUGACUUAGAAAGUUCAUUGUUGCUGGCGAAUGGAACGCUCUUGCGUAUCUUACUUAUGCAUAUCAAUUGGGGGCGCUCUUCAAGGUUACCGGUACACGUGAAAAAUGGCUGAUGCAGGCGAGAAGCUGAGCAAGAGUAUCAAGCUGAGCAAGUAAUGAAAAGGCACGCAAGCCCUAUAUGACAUAGGACUUUCUGCUCAAUCGGCACCCAGCUCAUGUGGGUUCAUGU
rnacentral:misc_RNA from 1 species